GCCGAAGUGGCGGAACUGGUAGACGCGCAGCGUUCAGGGCGCUGUGAGCCAAAAGCUCGUGGAGGUUCAAAUCCUCUCUUCGGCA
rnacentral:tRNA from 1 species